rnacentral:ribozyme from 12 species
GGUAUCUUCUUUUCCUCCUUUUUCUUCUUUUUCUUUCCCUUCUUUUUCUUCC